rnacentral:rRNA from 1 species
AACGAACGCUGGCGGCAUGCCUAACACAUGCAAGUCGAACGAAACCUUCCGGUCUUGUUUCGCACCUGUGCUUAACGCGUGGUAACCUACCCUUAGGUUCUGUAUCCCUCCCCUCAAGGUAUGCUAAUACCAGUUAAUGUCUUCGCACCUAAGAUUUCUCGCAUUUGGAUGUGCCCGCGUUGGAUUCGCUAGUGGGUAGGGUAAAAGCCUACCAAGGCGACGAUCCAUAGCUGGUCUGAGAGGAGGAUCAGCGACACUGGGACUGAGACAAGGCCCAGACUCGUACGGGAGGUAGGAGUGGGGACAAAAGGACAAUGGGCGAAAGGCUGAGACAGCAAGGCGGGGAGAGUGAUGAAGGGGUUAGGGUCGUAAAGCGCUUUUAACCGGGAUGAUAAUGACAGUACCGGGAGAAUAAGCUCCGGCUAACUACGUG